UGUCUCCUCCUCCUCUUUCUCCUGGCCCCCCUCUUCUCCCUUCUUCUUCUUGUGCUCUGUCUUGGGUUGCAAGAAGCCCCUGCUUCUCGCGAGAAGCGCGGCGUCUCGCCGUAUGCCAAAAGAAGCGGAGGAGAGCGGCGGUCUUGGUGUCGGCGUCGGCGAGGAAGAUGACGAUAGAAGAGCUAAAGGAACAGGAGGUCGAGGAAGCGCCGCCGCUGUUGGAGGAUGCCGAGGCCAACUCCAGGCCUUGACGCAUUGCUCUUUUCGUCGAGCCCUCUCCCUUCGCGUCCGUAUUUCCGCCCUCCCUCUUUCUUUGAUUUUUUUUCUUUGAUGCUUGAUGACUGCUGCUGUGCUGGAAAUAUACUGCUGGAGGAGCUGCUGGUGAUGUGCCAGGUGGAGACGGCGGCGGGGCUGGCGGAGAUCGAGGCGAUCGCCGGCGUCGAGGGGGUCGACGUGGUGCAGAUGGAGCCGCUGGAUCUGAGCGCGAGGAUGGGAUCCUAGGAAUCGGAAGGUGAGGGAUGUGAUGAAGGAUAUCAUAUGAAGAUGAGAAGGAUAUCUGUGGGAUCCUAGGAAUCGGGCGGAGAAUGUGAAGAUGCACUACAAGAAAAUGUGUGUUCGUUUAAUGCUUCCUGAAGAGAUCUCGCUUGUUGCUUGCUCUCCAGAUUAUGCAUAUGAUAAGUUUACAAGGCCUUCUAGUGUUCCUGAAGGAGCUUAUGUUCAGUGAGAAAUUGAGCUACUUGGCUUUGAAAUGCCUAAGGUUCUUUUGAUAUAGAAAAUCUCUGGGUCUCUGCGUAAGCUGAAGGGAUGUUGCACUCUUGCAAGGGAUCGUUUCAAAAGCCUUGAGAAAUGGGGUUUACUUGUCCCAAAAGCUAAAAGGGGCAGAAAGAAGUAGACAUUGUUUAUGGCUGGAUCACAUGGAAUACAGUGGAUAUGCAAUGGAGGGGCCUGCUCAAGUGAAGCAUGAGAUUUUGGUUCAUACUUCUCGGUCAAUGUAAUAUCUGAUUUCCUUCCUGAGUACUGUUAGAAGCAAUAUGCAACAGUGGAUGGUGGAAUUUGAGUACGCUUCAGGUCUUUUGAUUGAU